rnacentral:rRNA from 1 species
UCGGUUAGUCGGUACGAGCGCACCCUAUCGUUAGUUGCCAGCAAUUCGGUUGGGCACUCUAACGAGACUCCCGGUGUUAAACCGGCGGAAGAUGGGGAUGACGUCAAGUCCUCAUGGCCCUCUAUGACUGGGGCUACACACGUACUACAAUGGCAUCUACAAAGGGGAGCAAUAUCGCGAGAUGGAGCCAAUCCCAAAAAAGGUGCCUCAGUUCGGAUUGUAGUCUGCAACUCGACUACAUGAAGUUGGAAUCGCUAGUAAUCGUGAAUCAGCAUGCCACGGUGAAUACGUUCCCGGGCCUUGUACACACCGCCCGUCACACCACGAAAGUUGAGUCAACCCGAAGUCGUGCGCCUAACCUUUUAGGAAGGAAGCGCCUACGGUUGGUUCGAUGAUUGGGGUGAAGUCGUAACAAGGUAGCCGUAGGGGAACCUGCGGCUGGAUCACCUCCUUA